rnacentral:rRNA from 1 species
GUCCACGCUGUAAACGAUGAGGACUGGCUGUUGGACUCCGUGAGGGGUUUAGUAGCGAAGCUAACGCGUUAAGUUCUCCGCCUGGGGAGUACGACCGCAAGGUUAAAACUCAAAGGAAUUGACGGGGCCCGCACAAGCGGUGGAACAUGUGGUUUAAUUCGACGCAACGCGAAGAACCUUACCUACUCUUGACAUCCUAGGGAUCUGGCUGAGAGGCUGGAGUGCCGCAAGGAACCUAGAGACAGGUGCUGCAUGGCUGUCGU